GACGAACGCUGGCGGCGUGCUUAACACAUGCAAGUCGAACGGAAAGGCCUGCUUUCCCUUGUGGAUUGCGGGUACUCGAGUGGCGAACGGGUGAGUAACACGUGAGUGAUCUGCCCCCAACUUGGGUAUAAGCCUGGGAAACUGGGUCUAAUUCCCGAUAGUACUGCAGGGUGGUGCCUGUGGUGGAAAACGAUUUUCUAGUGGUUGGGGAUGAGCUCGCGGCCUAUCAGCUUGGUGGUGGGGUAAUGGCCUACCAAGGCGGGGACGGGUAGCCGGCCUGAGAGGGUGGACGGCCACAUUGGGACUGGGAUACGGCCCAGACGCGUACGGGAGGCAGCAGUGGGGAAUAUUGCACAAUGGGCGGAAGCCUGAUGCAGCGACGCCGCGUGGGGGAUGACGGCCUUCGGGUUGUAAACUCCUUUCGACCGCGAGGAAGCCACCUGGUUGGAAGGGUGGUGACGGUAGUGGUAGAAGAAGCACCGGCUAACUACGUG
rnacentral:rRNA from 1 species